GGGGGGGUGGCACUUUUUAAAAGACUGAAAAACAGACGAGCCCCCCAAAAUUAUUCUCUGAAAAGAGCACGGGUACACUUUUGUUCAAAACGACACGUUGUGUAGGUGUGUGUCAGGUGUGUAUCAGGUGUGUGUAGGUGUGUAUUUGUGUCCUGUGUUUAUCUUGUGUUGACACUGAACGAGAUAAAUACUCUUAGAAUGUAGAAGUGUGUUGAAAUGUACCGAGUCACCACAGUGACCUUUAAGAAUAAAGCUCUCUUUUA